GAACAGUAACAUAAAACUUUCAUAUCUCAAGAAAUAUGUUGUAAAAAAACUUGAUCUUAAAAGCGAAGAUGAGGUAGAGUUAUACUCAGACAAUGAACCUCUUGAUCCAUCAACAAUGUUGUUUGACUUGUGGCAACGUUGGGUCUCGACUAAGAAAGAUGUUAGUAUAAGGAAUGUAAAAGUUGGAUCUUCAGCUGCUGAUUAUGUCAUGGUCGUCAGCUAUGGUCGGAAGCUGGACAUGUGUUCUACUUAAGUUUAUUUAUAGCAAAGUUAUCUUGUAGCUAUAGUUCUUUCUUCAUUCCUUAAAAACCUGUCUUAGUUAUUGAAUAAAUAUGGAUAGUAAAUUUCAUAUUUAUAAGAUGCAAAAUUCCUUUAA